UGUGCGAGUUGUGCGACGAAGCUCGAAGCGUGCGCGAGGCUGCUGCUGUGCGAAUCGAGGGCUGGUUCGAGCGUAGCCGUGCGGCUGCUGUGGUAGAGCUUGGGGUUGUGUGCCGUUGCCGGAAAUCGGUCGCCGGAAUUUGAUUUCCGGCGAGCUUAACGGUCCCAAUUUCAUAAGCGGAACGUUCGAUUAAGACAGCGAAAAUUCUCCGUUACAAGACUAGGUGUGCUGGUGUUGCUGCAUAUUCUCGAGCAUACGGGGACUAGGCUUUGGUAUUUACAUUAAAACAUUUUGAAAUAAGUAUUAUUGGUUUUUCUAAGACUUAUAUAAAUGGUUUGUGGUUUGAAUGAAAGGGGUCAUUGAUGAUUCCCGAGUUGUAUUUAUAUUUUGAUUCCGCUGCAUUUUAGUUUUCAAGUUAAUGUUUUAAGUUA